CUGGGUAAGUCGGGGCCUAAGGCGAGGUCGAAAGACGUAGUCGAUGGAUAACAGGUUGAAAUUCCUGUACUAUCCUGUAACAGAACUGUGGGGACGCAGACAGAGAGCACAAGCCGGGAAUGGAAAGACCGGUGCAAGCGAGGUAGGAGUACAUCAGGCAAAUCCGGUGUGCAAUCCGAAGACGUGAUGCGGAUCGAAAAGAAGUAGAGAAGUGUGUGAGCUGGCUGCCAAGAAAAGCCGCUAUUGUUUACAGGAUACCCGUACCGUAAACCGACACAGGUGGAUGAGGAGAGAAUCCUAAGGCCGACGGGAGAAGCAUUGUUAAGGAACUCGGCAAAAUGACUCCGUAACUUCGGGAGAAGGAGUGCCAUGCGAAUGGCCGCAGAGAAUUGGCCCAAGCAACUGUUUAGCAAAAACACAGGUCUAUGCGAAACCGAAAGGUGAGGUAUAUGGGCUGACGCCUGCCCGGUGCUGGAAGGUUAAGGGGAGAGGUUAGCGCAAGCGAAGCUUUGAACUUAAGCCCCAGUAAACGGCGGCCGUAACUAUAACGGUCCUAAGGUAGCGAAAUUCCUUGUCGGGUAAGUUCCGACCCGCACGAAAGGCGUAAUGAUUUGGGCACUGUCUCAACAAUGCACCCGGUGAAAUUGAAAUACCAGUGAAGAUGCUGGUUACCUGCGCCAGGACGGAAAGACCCCAUGGAGCUUUACUCCAGCUUGAUACUGGGAUUCGGUAUUGCAUGUACAGGAUAGGUGGGAGGCUAGGAAGAGAAGACGCCAGUCUUUUUGGAGCCGCUGUUGGGAUACCACCCUUGCAGUGCUGGGUUUCUAACCUGCAGCCGUGAUCCGGCUGGGGGACAAUGUCAGGUGGGGAGUUUGACUGGGGCGGUCGCCUCCGAAAGGGUAUCGGAGGCGCUCAAAGGUUCCCUCAGAAUGGUCGGAAACCAUUCGAAGAGUGCAAAGGCAGAAGGGAGCUUGACUGCGACACCGACGGGUGGAGCAGGUACGAAAGUAGGACUUAGUGAUCCGGUGGUAUAAAGUGGGAUUGCCAUCGCUCAACGGAUAAAAGCUACCCUGGGGAUAACAGGCUUAUCACUCCCAAGAGUUCACAUCGACGGAGUGGUUUGGCACCUCGAUGUCGGCUCAUCGCAUCCUGGGGCUGUAGUAGGUCCCAAGGGUUGGGCUGUUCGCCCAUUAAAGCGGUACGCGAGCUGGGUUCAGAACGUCGUGAGACAGUUCGGUCCCUAUCCGGCGUGGGCGUAGGAUAUUUGAGAGGAGCUGCCCUUAGUACGAGAGGACCGGGGUGGACUGGCCGCUGGUGUAUCUGUUGUAUUACCAAGUGCAUAGCAGAGUAGCCAAGCCGGGAAGGGAUAAACGCUGAAGGCAUCUAAGCGUGAAGCCCCCCUCAAGAUGAGAUAUCCCAUAACGUCAAGUUAGUAAGACCCCUUGAAGACGACGAGGUAGAUAGGGCAGAGGUGGAAGUGUGGUAACACAUGGAGCUGACUGUUACUAAUAGGUCGAGGGCAUAACCA
rnacentral:rRNA from 1 species